AAUAAGUUUGAUUCUUGCUUAUUUAUUAAUUAUUUAGUUGAUUUAUAUGUUAUUUUUUUAAUAAAUUUUUAGUACAGUAAAUAGUAUUGUUUAUAUUUUUAUUUAUUUUCAGUAAUUUAAUUAUAAUGGAUAAAUUUUGUGCCAGCAUUCGCGGUUAUACAAUUCAUUAAAGUUAAUUUUUUUGCAGUUUAGUUAUUUUUUAAUUGGUUUUUUGUUAAAGUUAUUUAGGUGAAAUUUAUAUUUUUAUAAUUAUUCCUUUAUUUAUUAAAUUUCUAUUAAAUUAUUUAUUUAAACUAGGAUUAGAUACCCUAUUAUUAAUAAACUUAAAUUUUAUGUGAAUAUUAAUAGUUAUGUUCUUUUUAAACUCAAAGAAUUUGGCGGUAAUUUAUUUCUUUUUAGAGGAACCUGUAUUUUAAUUGAUAAACCACGAUAUUUUUUACCUUGAAAAAUUUUAUUUGUAUACCUCUAUGUUUUGGAAUGUUAUUUAAGUAAAUUUUCUUUUUUUAUAUAAAUUUAUAUUAGGUCAAGGUGCAGUUUAUGUUAAGGUAAAUAUGGGUUACUUUAAUAUUAAAUAUUUUAUUAAAAUAAUCUAUAUUUAUGUUUACUUAAAAUAGGAUUUAAUAGUAAUUUUAAUUAAUUUAUUAAUUUGAAUUUUGCUCUAAUUUAUGUACAUAUCGCCCGUCACUCUCUUUAAAAUGGGAUAAGUCGUAACAAAGUAAGUGUACCGGAAGGUGUAGUUAGAAAGUU
rnacentral:ncRNA from 1 species